CCCGUGCCUGGCCCCGCCGGGUCGCUCCCGAGCUCCGCGUUUCGUUCGCCGACCCCUGGAAGACUGCCUGGAGGCCCGGGCGCCACCCGACCACUGGCUAGGCCGACACUUUGCGCGGACCCUGGGUGUAAAAGGUCCCCGGGUCUCUGGUCCCGACGGAGCUGUGAGGGAGAUCAACCACGCCCCCUCCGUGGGCACCGUGGCGGCAGGGAGGGAAAAGGGCUCUGGGUCUCGACUCUCUUCAGGUUAAGAACCGACGGGGUUUAUUCUAUGCAAGGUGUUAUUAACUCCAACUCUCCCUUUCGUUCAUUCAUUCCAUAUAUGUUGAAUGACAACGUAGUGCCAAAUGCCGGCGUGCUGAAACUCAGAGAAGAAGAUGUCUUGCAAGUACAGCAGCCACACCCAGAGUUUUGCUCUUGUUCCCUGGGCUGGAGUGCAGUGGCACCAUCUCGGCUCACCGCAACCUCCGCCUCCCAAGUUCAAGCGAUUCUCCUGCCUCAGCCUCCCCAGUAUCUGGGAUUAUAGUAAAAUUAAAACAGGCACAAUGAUAUCCUGGAUGACAAGAGCUGGAGGCUGUCAUUCUAACAAUGUAGUGGGACUGGCUGUCUUGUCUCAUGCCCACCCCUGGAAACAUGCGCAGGAACUCAAGCACCUAGCACAGAGGAAGUGUCUGGUUUCACCCCCUCUUCCCAGGUUUCACCCACCCCAACCAGUGUUGUUUGCAACACUUCAGCUUCUCUCCUCACGAAGCACGUCUCCAGAGACGCCUCUUCCGCAGCACCUUCCCAGGGAAGCCAUUUCUGCCUGGACCCACCGCAGCUCCCAACCUGUCACGCACCCCUGGAGGGUUCUGCUCUGUAAUCCUGAUUUAGAAAUCCUCUUACAUGAAACCACUGGAAUCCACAUCUGGUUAGACAAUUGGAAAAGUUCAUUGAAAGGAGAAAUAAUAAAAAUGGCAUCCAUCCCU
rnacentral:antisense_RNA from 1 species